UACAGAGGUCUCAAGCGUUGUUCGGAUUCAUUGGGCGUAAAAGGGCGCGUAGGCGGCGAGGUAAGUCGGGUGUGAAAAUCUCAGAGCUCAACUCUGAAAACUGCACUCGAUACUGCUUUUGCUAGAGGACUGGAGAGGAGAUUGGAAUUCACGGUGUAGCAGUGAAAUGCGUAGAGAUCGUGAGGAAGACCAGUGGCGAAGGCGGAUCUCUGGACAGUUCCUGACGCUGAGGCGCGAAGGCCAGGGGAGCAAACGGG
rnacentral:rRNA from 1 species